UUAUAUACUGAAUAGUUUGUACUUUUUUUUUUUUAACUUUUUUUUUUUUUUUUUUCCUGAUGACAUUAUGGUUAAAAACACAGACUUUGGAGUUAGAACAACUGGUGCUCCAGGCCCUACCCUCUUACUCACCAGCUAUGUGUCCUUAUGGAAAUUGCUUGUUAUAAACGAUUUUAAUAACCAUACCUAUCUAAUAGGAGUACUUUGGUAUGGCUUUAGGAACAUACUUUUUCUAAUAGUGUUGGUCCUCAACGCUGUACCCCGUGCUGAGGAGUAUGGAAAGAUUAGCUCCUAGCCCUGGCAGGCUAAAUCCAUUGGAGGAGUCAGGUUAAAAAUCUCACACAAGAGAUGGGUACCAAAGUGUCACUUGAACUUGAUCGAAUAUUUAAGAAGAUCCUAUAACUUUAACAACAUUAGAAAAUGUUACCACCCUUUUUCCCCACCGUACAUGUUAGACUCAAUGUGGGAGAUAUGGUAGUGCAGUGUUUUCUAAUUUUGUUAAAAUCCUAAGUCAUUCAAAUCAGUUUGAUGAUAAAUAAUAAUAAUUAGAAGAUUUAAAGUGAUCCAAUCAAAAUGACUCAAAAAAGGAGGAAAAUUACUUUUGAAUGCCUCAGUGUCGUUUUCCUUAGAACAUUAUAUCAUUUUCAUCCAUUUAAAAAAACAUUUUGUGGGAGCAGAGUUGAGUCCUUUAAAAUGUGAUGUUUGUCCUGGCCUGUAAUGAACAAGGAUGUAAAACAUACACUCUGCCCUCCCUUAGGUUGUUUUGCCACCACUGCAACCCCUGGCAAGCUGGUCUUCCUUCCCCUCUCUUCUGAUGUCAUUGCUGUUCUAAGAGAACAUGCUGGAAGAAUACACUAUAAAUUUUGGAAUUAAUUAUGCUGGAAGUUGUAUUUUAAAAGGAGUUUACCCUCUUUUAUACUCCUUAUGGAAUGACUCGGGUGGAACAUAAUGAACUACACCUCCUGUAUGUCUCUACAAAUAGAAGGCAGUUCUUAACAUUUAUAUGAGACAGCAGGAGCCUGGACAUGACCUCAUUUCAAUCCAUUAGACUAUUUGAGGAAAAAACAACAAAACUUUCCCACUUAUUGACAGGUAAAGUUAUCCCAAUCCAUUUCUCAUAGCCAGUAAGAAGAUGAACUGUGCUUAAAUGCAUUUUAAAAUUGGCA